rnacentral:rRNA from 1 species
CUGAAUCAGUGUGUGUGUUAGUGGAAGCGUCUGGAAAGGCGCGCGAUACAGGGUGACAGCCCCGUACACAAAAAUGCACAUGCUGUGAGCUCGAUGAGUAGGGCGGGACACGUGGUAUCCUGUCUGAAUAUGGGGGGACCAUCCUCCAAGGCUAAAUACUCCUGACUGACCGAUAGUGAACCAGUACCGUGAGGGAAAGGCGAAAAGAACCCCGGCGAGGGGAGUGAAAAAGAACCUGAAACCGUGUACGUACAAGCAGUGGGAGCACAGAGCAAUCUGUGUGACUGCGUACCUUUUGUAUAAUGGGUCAGCGACUUAUAUUCUGUAGCAAGGUUAACCGAAUAGGGGAGCCGAAGGGAAACCGAGUCUUAACUGGGCGUUAAGUUGCAGGGUAUAGACCCGAAACCCGGUGAUCUAGCCAUGGGCAGGUUGAAGGUUGGGUAACACUAACUGGAGGACCGAACCGACUAAUGUUGAAAAAUUAGCGGAUGACUUGUGGCUGGGGGUGAAAGGCCAAUCAAACCGGGAGAUAGCUGGUUCUCCCCGAAAGCUAUUUAGGUAGCGCCUCGUGAAUUCAUCUCCGGGGGUAGAGCACUGUUUCGGCAAGGGGGUCAUCCCGACUUACCAACCCGAUGCAAACUGCGAAUACCGGAGAAUGUUAUCACGGGAGACACACGGCGGGUGCUAACGUCCGUCGUGAAGAGGGAAACAACCCAGACCGCCAGCUAAGGUCCCAAAGUCAUGGUUAAGUGGGAAACGAUGUGGGAAGGCCCAGACAGCCAGGAUGUUGGCUUAGAAGCAGCCAUCAUUUAAAGAAAGCGUAAUAGCUCACUGGUCGAGUCGGCCUGCGCGGAAGAUGUAACGGGGCUAAACCAUG